CCUACGGGUGGCAGCAGUGAGGAAUAUUGGUCAAUGGACGAGAGUCUGAACCAGCCAAGUAGCGUGAAGGAUGACUGCCCUAUGGGUUGUAAACUUCUUUUAUAUGGGAAUAAAAUGUUCCACGUGUGGGAUUUUGUAUGUACCAUAUGAAUAAGGAUCGGCUAACUCCGUGCCAGCAGCCGCGGUAAUACGGAGGAUCCGAGCGUUAUCCGGAUUUAUUGGGUUUCAAGGGAGCGUAGGUGGAUUGUUAAGUCAGUUGUGAAAGUCUGCGGCUCAACCGUAAAAUUGCAGUUGAAACUGGCAGUCUGGAGUACAGUAGAGGUGGGCGGAAUUCGUGGUGUAGCGGUGAAAUGCUUAGAUAUCACGAAGAACUCCGAUUGCGAAGGCAGCUCACUGUACUGCAACUGACACUGAGGCUCGAAAGUGUGGGUAUCAAACAGGAUUAGAUACCCGGGUAGUC
rnacentral:rRNA from 1 species